rnacentral:rRNA from 1 species
GAGUUUGAUUCUGGCUCAGAGUGAACGCUGGCGGCAGGCCUAACACAUGCAAGUCGAACGGUAGCACAGCAGAGCUUGCUCUGUGGGUGACGAGUGGCGGACGGGUGAGGAAUACAUCGGAAUCUACCCUGUCGUGGGGGAUAACGUAGGGAAACUUACGCUAAUACCGCAUACGAACUGAGGUUGAAAGCGGCGGACCGCAAGGCGUCGCGCGAUUGGAUGAGCCGAUGUCCGAUUAGCUAGUUGGUAAGGUAAAGGCUUACCAAGGCGACGAUCGGUAGCUGGUCUGAGAGGAUGAUCAGCCACACUGGAACUGAGACACGGUCCAGACUCCUACGGGAGGCAGCAGUGGGGAAUAUUGGACAAUGGGCGCAAGCCUGAUCCAGCCAUGCCGCGUGUGUGAAGAAGGCCUUCGGGUUGUAAAGCACUUUUGUUGGGAAAGAAAUCCUGUCGGUUAAUACCCGGCGGGGCUGACGGUACCCAAAGAAUAAGCACCGGCUAACUUCGUGCCAGCAGCCGCGGUAAUACGAAGGGUGCAAGCGUUACUCGGAAUUACUGGGCGUAAAGCGUGCGUAGGUGGUUUGUUAA